AGUGAACGCUGGCGGUAGGCCUAACACAUGCAAGUCGAACGGCAGCACAGUAAGAGCUUGCUCUUACGGGUGGCGAGUGGCGGACGGGUGAGGAAUACAUCGGAAUCUACUUUUUCUUGGGGGAUAACGUAGGGAAACUUACGCUAAUACUGCAUACGACCUACGGGUGAAAGCAUGGGAUCUUCGGACCUUGCGCGAUCGAAUGAGCCGAGGUCGGAUUAGCUAGUUGGCGGGGUAAAGGCCCACCAAGGCGACGAUCCGUAGCUGGUCUGAGAGGAUGAUCAGCCACACUGGAACUGAGACACGGUCCAGACUCCUACGGGAGGCAGCAGUGGGGAAUAUUGGACAAUGGGCGCAAGCCUGAUCCAGCCAUACCGCGUGGGUGAAGAAGGCCUUCGGGUUGUAAAGCCCUUUUGUUGGGAAAGAAGAGCAGCAGGUUAAUACCCCGCUGUUCUGACGGUACCCAAAGAAUAAGCACCGGCUAACUUCGUG
rnacentral:rRNA from 1 species